GCGAAAGUGGCGGAAUUGGCAGACGCGCUAGAUUUAGGAUCUAGUGAGGUUUCCUCGUGGGGGUUCGAGUCCCCCCUUUCGCACCA
rnacentral:tRNA from 1 species